rnacentral:rRNA from 1 species
AUUGAACGCUGGCGGCAUGCCUUACACAUGCAAGUCGAACGGCAGCAUAGGAGCUUGCUCCUGAUGGCGAGUGGCGAACGGGUGAGUAAUAUAUCGGAACGUGCCCUAGAGUGGGGGAUAACUAGUCGAAAGACUAGCUAAUACCGCAUACGAUCUACGGAUGAAAGUGGGGGAUCGCAAGACCUCAUGCUCCUGGAGCGGCCGAUAUCUGAUUAGCUAGUUGGUGGGGUAAAAGCCUACCAAGGCAACGAUCAGUAGCUGGUCCGAGAGGACGACCAGCCACACUGGGACUGAGACACGGCCCAGACUCCGACGGGAGGCAGCAGUGGGGAAUUUUGGACAAUGGGGGCAACCCUGAUCCAGCAAUGCCGCGUGAGUGAAGAAGGCCUUCGGGUUGUAAAGCUCUUUUGUCAGGGAAGAAACGGUAGUAGCGAAUAACUACUACUAAUGACGGUACCUGAAGAAUAAGCACCGGCUAACUACGUGCCAGCCGCCGCCGUAA